GAUGAACGCUGGCGGCGUGCCUAAUACAUGCAAGUCGAGCGAAUGGAUUAAGAGCUUGCUCUUAUGAAGUUAGCGGCGGACGGGUGAGUAACACGUGGGUAACCUGCCCAUAAGACUGGGAUAACUCCGGGAAACCGGGGCUAAUACCGGAUAACAUUUUGAACCGCAUGGUUCGAAAUUGAAAGGCGGCUUCGGCUCUCACUCAUGGAUGGACCCGCGUCGCAUUAGCUAGUUGGUGAGGUAACGGCUCACCAAGGCAACGAUGCGUAGCCGACCUGCGAGGGUGAUCGGCCACACUGGGACUGAGACACGGCCCAGACUCCUACGGGAGGCAGCAGUAGGGAAUCUUCCGCAAUGGACGAAAGUCUGACGGAGCAACGCCGCGUGAGUGAUGAAGGCUUUCGGGUCGUAAAACUCUGUUGUUAGGGAAGAACAAGUGCUAGUUGAAUAAGCUGGCACCUUGACGGUACCUAACCAGAAAGCCACGGCUAACUACGUGCCAGCCGCCGCCGUAA
rnacentral:rRNA from 1 species